rnacentral:rRNA from 1 species
UAGGGAAUCUUCCACAAUGGACGAAAGUCUGAUGGAGCAAUGCCGCGUGAGUGAAGAAGGGUUUCGGCUCGUAAAACUCUGUUGUUAGAGAAGAACGUGGGUGAGAGUAACUGUUCACCCAGUGACGGUAUCUAACCAGAAAGCCACGGCUAACUACGUGCUU